AUAACGCAAUGCUUUGAUAUGUUUUAAACCCAAAAGGUAACUUCAGCUGAAUUACCUUUUGGGUUUAAAACAUGUCAAAGCAUUGCGUUAU
rnacentral:pre_miRNA from 1 species